CUGCCUUCGGAAUCCUUUUAGCGGUAAUCGGGGUCCUCCUUCUUUAUUUGGGAUCGAGAGGUCCUUUCUUCCCGAGCUCCGUCAAAACGAUUCAGAGCGAACUCUAACCCUAAAAGGCUCCUUAAACCCUAAUCCAUGGAUGCGAAGGAUAUCCUCGGUCUCCCGAAGAAUUCUUUUCCGGCAGCCCAGGAGAAGAAGCCUCGCCCCCCGAAGGAUUCCCAAAGGAAGCCCGAUGGCGUCUCCCGAGAGGUUUACGCUCUUACGGGAGGAAUGGCGCCUCUCAUGCCCUCCAUCGAGGUCUCACACUUGAAGAAGCGGCCCAAUUCGGAGAAAGAGAAGAUCACAUGGCAGUGGCUUUCAUUUACAUCAUCUGCAAGAACAGAUAACUUGCAACUUUAUCAUUGGGUCAGGGUUGUAAAUGGUGUUCCACCAACUGGUGAUUACUCAUUUGCUAAGUACAACAAGUCUGUGGACAUUCUUAGGUAUACGGAUGAGGAAUAUGAAAAGCACUUGAUUGAUCCUAUGUGGACUAAGGAAGAAACAGAUCAGUUAUUUGAUCUCUGCGAAAGAUUUGAUCUUCGCUUCAUAGUGAUAGCUGAUAGGUUUCCAUCAUCUCGGAGUGUGGAGGAACUUAAGAGUCGCUAUUAUUCCGUGAACCGGGCACUUUUAAUUGCUAGAGCACCCUCUCCUUCUGAUGUUUCUGGACAUCCACUAGUUAAGGAACCUUACAACAUGGUUCAUGAGAUUGAAAGGAAACGUGCGUUGUCUGCUGUGCUCUCUCAAACAAAACAGCAGGAGCGCAGAGAUGCUGAGAUCCUUGCCGAAGCUAAACGUAUAAUGGAGUCACGCAUGGCUAGUAAAAGUGCUGAAGAUGCCGAGAUGCCAGUUAACCCAACUGGUAACGAAACUGAGAAGGCUACUGCACCUGCUGAAUCUGUAUCACCAUCUACUAACAUCCAUCCAUCGUCUUCAACUGCUGCACCCGCGACAGCCACAACAGAGAGUGCUUCAACUCCAGCUUCACUCCGGAUGCUUCGCGUAUACUUGAGAACCCAUGUACUUGACCAAAUGGUGCAAGCAGCAAGCUCAACUGCUGGUCUCAGGACUAUCAAAAGGGUUGACCAGACUUUACAAGAUCUUGGGGUUCAUGUGAAACCGAAGGUCCCAACAAAAGCAGUUUGUGCAGAACAUCUUGAAUUGCGAAAAGAAAUACUUACAUUGCUCAACCUACAGAAACAGCUCCAAAAUAAAGAGGCAGAAGCUUCGGCAAAUCGUGAUAGUUCAUAUGCUGAAGCACCAAGCACUCCUAAGCGUUCUUACCGCGCGGACGUUGACCGGCCAUUCGUCCCUGAUUCUGUUGGUUUUGGAGGUGAGAGAGCGGCUAAAAGGGACCACAAACGCAAGGCACCUGGAAGAUUUAUUGAUGCACCACCAUCGCCACCGCAAUCCAAGAGGCCCCGGAAGUUGAAGGCUUCUGAUUGAUGACGUCAAGAGAUGUGUCUGCACUCUCAUCUUCACAACAAUCCCAUGGUCUAGGAUAAAAAGCUGAAAGAAGCAGCAUCGGUCUAAAAAGUAGCCAAGUGCUGACAACUCCCAGCUGGUUUCUUCCUUUGAGGACCCUUGGGUUGCAUAUCCACCUACAGCUCUUGCAAUUCUCGUGCAUCAGAUUGUAGCAUACUGAACGUCUUCCGUUUGCUGGGUGCAAAAAUUGGCGAAGAAAGUUUCAGGGAUCCUUUUUCAUGUUUACGCCUCUCUCUCUAUAUAUAUCUGAAAGAUAAAAUAUAUCUGGUGGUUUCUUCACAGUUCCUUUUAACUAGAAUACGUUAUUGCGGUA